CACGUAGUUAGCCGGGGCUUAUUCUUCAGGUACCGUCAUUGACUUCUUCCCUGACUAAAGAACUUUACAAUCCGAAGACCUUCUUCAUUCACGCGGCAUUGCUGGGUCAGAGUUUCCUCCAUUGCCCAAUAUUCCCCACUGCUGCCUCCCGUAGGAGUCUGGGCCGUAUCUCAGUCCCAAUGUGGCCGAUCACCCUCUCAGGUCGGCUACGCAUCGUCGCCUUGGUGGGCCGUUACCUCACCAACUAGCUAAUGCGACGCGAGUCCAUCUCAUACCAGGUUGCCCCUUUUACCCCUCUACCAUGCGGUAGUGUGGUCUUAUACCGUAUUAACCGAAGUUUCCCUCGGGUAUCCCGUUGUAUGAGGCAGGUUACUCACGCGUUACUCACCCGUUCGCCACUAGGAUAUUGCUAUCCCGUUCCGACUUGUCAUGUGUUAGGCGAUGCCGCCACGCGUUCGUCCUCGAGCCGACGAGUCAAACUACU
rnacentral:rRNA from 1 species